UACGUAGGCAGCAAGCGUUGUUCGGAGUUACUGGGCGUAAAGGGUGUGUAGGCGGUUCUUUUAAGUUUGGUGUGAAAUCUCCCGGCUCAACUGGGAGGGUGCGCCGAAUACUGAGGGACUAGAGUACGGGAGAGGAAAGUGGAAUUCCUGGUGUAGCGGUGAAAUGCGUAGAUAUCAGGAGGAACACCGGUGGUGUAGACGGCUUUCUGGACCGACACUGACGCUGAAACACGAAAGCGUGGGUAGCAAACAGG
rnacentral:rRNA from 1 species